CGCUAACUGCUAAGCUAAAGUCCUGCUGUAUGUAAGAGACCUUGGAAGCCUUGGUCCAAACUGUCAGCAAGAGAAGAAACAGCAGCAGCACAUCACACCUGCAGAUGAGGACACGCUCAUGUCUGCCACCUACAGAUGCCUCAAACUGCCUGUCAAGAUGGUAACAAGAGAUCCCUUGGCGCCAAAUGGGUGGAAUAUGGUGCUGAAAAUCCCAGGAGGAGUGGUUUGAUUAUAACUCGAGGUGCCAAUCGCGAAAAAUAAACAUGUGGUAAUUCAACUCAAAUUGUCCUCUAAAAUACAUAGAAUCGCACCUCAGAGCCAUUUUCACAUAGCAAGAAGAUUGCCUAUUCUUACUUCUUUGAAGAAUGUCUUGUUCCUGUGAUUACUCACAUUUUCAAGAGCAGGAGCUGUCCUAAAGUGGUUUGAUUACAACAUACUUACCCUGAGAGCUCCUUUGGACAAAAUGUAAGGCUUUUAACAAAAGGUCAAAUUUACAAAUGUAAGCAUCACUAAAAUGUCAGAUCUUUGUUUAUGCAAUUGAAAUGCAGCGUGCUUUGUGCGAGGGCAUGUACAUAUGUGUUUAUCUAAAGUGCUGUUUGCAUGUUUUUGCCUGCAAGCCUGCGGCUCUCUUGGGUUUUUUGUUUUUGCAGAAUGUCAACCUGGACCAAUUCUGGUGCUGCUUUAAAUUUCUACAUUCUCAAGUUGACUGCACACCUGCCCUGGGGAUAAAAAUAUUACUGGUCACAUUUAGUAUGCAAAACUGGAUUAGGGUAGUCAACUGUUAUUUGAGUAAAAUUUUCUUUAA